rnacentral:rRNA from 1 species
AGAAGUGUUACCCUUGCUGGACCGUGUACAAGUUUCCUGGAACGGAACGUCAUAGAGGGUGAGAAUCCCGUCUUUGACACGGACUCCCAGCAUGCUGUGGUACGCUCUCGAAGAGUCGUGUUGUUUGGGAAUGCAGCACUAAAUGGGUGGUAAAUUCCAUCUAAAGCUAAAUAUUGGCGAGAGACCGAUAGCAAACAAGUACCGUGAGGGAAAGAUGAAAAGAACUUUGGAAAGAGAGUUAAACAGUACGUGAAAUUGUUGAAAGGGAAACGCUUGAAGUCUAGUCGCGUCGGUUGGAAAUCAGUCUUGCUUCUGCUUGAUGUACUUUCUAAUCGACGGGUCAGCAUCAGUUUUGACCGUUGGAUAAAGGUUGGGGGAAUGUGGCAUCCUCGGAUGUGUUAUAGCCUCUGAUUGCAUACAACGGUUGGGACUGAGGAACUCAGCACGCCGCAAGGCCGGGUACUCGUACCACGUUCGUGCUUAGGAUGCUGGCAUAAUAGCUUUAAUCGACCCGUCUUGAAACACGGACCAAGGAGUCUAACAUGCCUGCGAGUGUUUGGGUGGAAAACCCGAGCGCGCAAUGAAAGUGAAAGUUGAGAACUCAUCAGAGUGCAUCGACGCCCGGACCAGACGUUUUCUGACGGCUCCGCGGUAGAGCAUGUAUGUUGGGACCCGAAAGAUGGUGAACUAUGCCUGAAUAGGGUGAAGCCAGAGGAAACUC